rnacentral:rRNA from 1 species
UACGGGGGGGGGCAAGCGUUGUUCGGAAUUACUGGGCGUAAAGGGCUCGUAGGCGGCCAACUAAGUCGGAUGUGAAAUCCCCAGGCUUAACCUGGGAACUGCAUCCGAUACUGGAUGGCUUGAAUUCGGGAGAGGGAUGCAGAAUUCCAGGUGUAGCGGUGAAAUGCGUAGAUAUCUGGAGGAACACCGGUGGCGAAGGCGGCUAUCUGGCCCGUAAUUGACGCUGAGGCGCGAAAGCGUGGGGAGCAAACAGG